rnacentral:rRNA from 1 species
UACGUAGGGGGCUAGCGUUGUCCGGAAUCAUUGGGCGUAAAGCGCGUGUAGGCGGUCCGGUAAGUCCGCUGUGAAAGUCGGGGGCUCAACCCUCGAAUGCCGGUGGAUACUGUCGGGCUAGAGUGCGGAAGAGGCGAGUGGAAUUCCUGGUGUAGCGGUGAAAUGCGCAGAUAUCAGGAGGAACACCAAUUGCGAGGGCAGCUCGCUGGGACGUUACUGACGCUGAGGCGCGAAAGCGUGGGGAGCAAACAGG